rnacentral:rRNA from 1 species
AACGAACGCUGGCGGCAUGCCUAACACAUGCAAGUCGAACGAGACCUUCGGGUCUAGUGGCGCACGGGUGCGUAACGCGUGGGAACCUGCCCUUAGGGUCGGAAUAACUCCCCGAAAGGGGUGCUAAUACCGGAUAAUGUCUUCGGACCGAAGAUUUAUCGCCUUUGGAUGGGCCCGCGUGGGAUUAGCUAGUUGGUAGGGUAAAAGCCUACCAAGGCGACGAUCCAUAGCUGGUCUGAGAGGAUGAUCAGCCACACUGGGACUGAGACACGGCCCAGAAUCCUACGGGAGGCAGGAGUGGGGGAUAUUGGACAAUGGGCGAAAGCAUGAUCCAGCAAUGCCGGGUGAGUGAUGAAGGCAGUAGGGUUGUAAAGCUCUUUUACCCGGGAUGAUAAUGACGGUACCGGGAGAAUAAGCUCCGGCUAACUCCGUG